rnacentral:tRNA from 1 species
GCCGCGGUAGUAUAGCCCGGUCAAGUCUUGCACCGAAAGUAUGCAGGCCUCUCAAGCCUGUGGCCCGGGUUCAAAUCCCGGCCGCGGCA